UACGGGGGGGGUAAGCGUUGUUCGGAAUUACUGGGCGUAAAGGGCUCGUAGGCGGCCAACUAAGUCGGACGUGAAAUCCCUCAGCUUAACUGGGGAACUGCGUCCGAUACUGGAUGGCUUGGAUUUGGGAGAGGGAUGCGGAAUUCCCGGUGUAGUGGUGAAAUGCGUAGAUAUCGGGAGGAACACCAGUGGCGAAGGCGACUACCUGGCCUGUUAUUGACGCUUAGGCGCGAAAGCUAGGGGAGCAAACGGG
rnacentral:rRNA from 1 species